rnacentral:rRNA from 1 species
AGUCGACGAGAUCUUCGGAUCUAGUGGCGAACGGCGGAGUAAGACAUGAGCAACGUGCCCCUAUGACUGGGAUAUACAGAGGAAACUCUGGGCAAUACCGGAUGUGGCUAUUCCUUGGCAUCUUGGAAUAACUAAACGGAUUCAUUCGCAUAGGGAGCGGCUCAUGACCCACCAGGUAGUUGGUAGGGUAAUGGCCUACCAAGCCGACGACGGGUAGCGGGUCUGAGAGAAUGAUCCGCCCGAGUGGGACUGAGACACGGCCCACACACCUACGGGUGGCAGCAGUUGGGAAUCUUGCACAAUGGGGGAAACCCUGAUGCAGCGACGCCGCGUGGAGGAUGACGGAUUUAGGUCUGUAAACUCCUUUUGCUAGGAAAGACUUAGGACGGUACCUAGCGAAUAAGCUCCGGCUAACUACGUGCCAGCAGCCGCGGUAAUACGUAGGGAGCAAGCGUUGUCCGGAUUUACUGGGCGUAAAGGGCGCGUAGGCGGCCUGUUAAGUGUGGUGUGAAAUCUCCAGGGCUCAACCCGGAAACUGCACCGCAUACUGGCAGACUAGAGGAAGGUAGAGGUAGAUGGAAUUCCCCGUGUAACGGUGACAUGUGUAGAUAUGGGGAGGAACACCAAUUGCGAAGGCAGUCUACUGGGCCUUUCCUGACGCUGACGCGCGAAAGCGUGGGUAGCAAACAGAAUUAGAUACUCUGGUAGUCCACGCCCUAAACGAUGGAUACUACGCGUCAGGGUAUCGACCCCCCUGGUGC